rnacentral:rRNA from 1 species
UACGUAGGUGGCGAGCGUUGUCCGGAUUUACUGGGCGUAAAGAGCGCGCAGGCGGCUGGUCAAGUCCGAUGUGAAAGCUCCCGGCUUAACUGGGAAAUUGCAUCGGAAACUGAUCGGCUGGAAGGUGGGAGAGGGUAGCGGAAUUCCCGGUGUAGUGGUGAAAUGCGUAGAUAUCGGGAGGAACACCAGUGGCGAAAGCGGCUACCUGGCCCAUUCUUGACGCUGAGGCGCGAAAGCUAGGGGAGCCAAACGGGGAUUAGAAAACCC